AGCUUCAAAGUAGUUUUUUUAAUCGUCCUACGGCCCAGCGAAACCCUCGCGUUGAGUUCUGUCACGACCCCGCGGUCCGGGCCCUCGCGGUGCAUUCUGGAUGCGGUAGUUUCCGCCGUGUUUAUGGUUGCGUCCAGCGUGAGUGCUGAGGUUUAUAGGUUGGAAUUUAUCUGCCACCAGAAGAUUCCUGCCCUAUCGCCUGGUUCUGGGACUUGUGACUAACAUUGGCUGUCCCUGGAUGGUUGUUUAAUGGAGAGAACUCACUAGACUUCGUUGUAUUAAUAGCCCAAAAAGCAGAUCCUUGAUUUGUCUGUGAGAAAAUGAAAAUCAUCUUUUAAGAAAUUGUGCUUUGGUUCUUCGCCCCUCACGCCCAAUUCCUUAAUUACGCUGUAGAAGUAGGGGCUUUAUGAACAUCUCUCUAAUUAUAUCUGGUGCUGAUCUCACCGCAUGAUGACUUUCUGUUUCACUGGUAUUCGAAGCCUUCCUAAGUUUUGGAAGAGCAACCCAUACCUUAGCGUAGGCCCAGGACACUCUUAUUUCUCUCUCUUUCUCAAAGACUAUUGUGGCAUCAGGAACCAACAGAAGUGGUUUUCUCUUAAAACGGCGUCUCCACAAAAUACUAAAGCAGUGAAUCUUCUGAUUGCCAAGGCCAGAUAUCUCAGGAAAGGAGAUGAAGGCAGUAAUCAAGUUUCUUCUGAUUCCCAUCUUUUUGCUGCUGGAGCAGCUAAGAAGAGAUCACAGAUGAAUACUCAUAGGGAAGAUCAUGGCUUGCCACCUGUGAGGAACACUAUUCAACUUCCAACAAGACCUCUGAAUUCAGAAGAGUGGGAUAAAUUCAAGGAAGAUUUCAAAGGAAAGGCUAAUUUUGAAAGUUGGAUCAUUUCACAAAUGGCUCACUGCCAUAGCUCUAUAGAUGUGGCCAAAUCUUUGUUAGCCUGGGUAGCUGCAAAAAACAAUGGUAUUGUAGGCUAUGAUUUGCUGGUCAAGUAUUUGUAUCUCUGCGUCUUUCAUAAACAUAUAUCAGAAGUUAUUGAUGUCUAUGAAAUCAUGAAAGCCAGAUACAAGAGGUUAGAACCUGGAGGAUAUACUCUUCUCAUCCAAGGAUUAAUCCACUCAGACAGAUGGAAAGAGGCCUUGCUGCUGUUAGAGGAUAUCAAAAAAGUCAUGAUUCCUUCAAAAAAGAACUACAAUGAUUGUAUCGAGGGAGCCCUCCUUCACCAAGAUGUAAACCUAGCGUGGAAUUUGUAUCAGGAAUUGUUGGGUCAUAAUCUUAUUCCUAUGUUGAAAACUUUAAAAGCAUUCUUUGAUUUUGGAAAAAACAUAAAAGAUGAUCAGUAUUCAAACAAGCUAUUUGACAUUCUUUUGUAUCUAAGAAAUAAUCAUCUAUAUCCUGGGGAAUCAUUUGCACACAGUAUAAAAACAUGGUUUGAGAGUGUUCCUGGGGAACAAUGGAAAGGACAGUUCACAACAAUCCAGGGAAGUGGUCAGUGUUCGGGCUGUGGAAAAACCAUAGAGUCUCUUCACCUGAGUCCAGAAGAGUAUGAAUUUCUCAAGGAAAAAAUCAUGAGGGAUGUGAUAGAUGGAGGUGAUCAAUACAAAAAGACAACCCCUCAGGAACUUGAGAGAUUUCAGAACUUUGUAAAAUGCUGUCCUCCUUUUGAUAUCGUCAUUGAUGGGCUCAAUGUUGCCAAAACAUUUCCUAAAGCUCGUGAAUCUCAAGUUCUCUUGCAUGUGGUCUCUCAACUAGCCAAGCAGAAUCUGCAGCUGCUGGUCUUGGGCCGAAAGCACAUGCUAACACAGCACUCCAGGUGGAGAAAGGAUGAGAUGAAAAAGGUGCAGAAGCAAGCCAGCUGCUUCUUUGCUGACAACAUGUGGAGGAACUGGAUAAAUGCAGUGUUACAACCAAGAAGCCUGUUGGAAAUUGGUCUCAUGCUUGGUUUGGGGCUUGUGUUUAUUGUGUCUGUUAAAGUUCCAAACCCAGUUGUAAAGACUGAUUCAGUGACCUCCUGUGGCUUUGAAUAUUUAAGUUUUUAACAUUAAUUCUAUUUUCCACUAAUGUACCAAAGAAGCCUUUUCAAACAGAUACUAUACUAUAAGAGAAUAGUAUAGUGAAUCUCCAUGGAAGUGUCACCCAGCUCCAGCAAUUACUAUCAUUUUUCUGAUAUUGUUGCAUAUAACCCCCUACAUUUUUUCUAUUUUUCUUUCCGCUCUCUUUUUUCCUGGAGAUUUUAAAGGCAGAUAGAUUCUAGUCAUUUAUCAUUUCAUUUGAAAUAGUUGAGUAUAAAAUAAACUAUAAAUGGUCCUACUUUGGGUCAUUUGGAUCAAGGCAUAAGACAUACCACGUGCUAUAGUCCAAAUCUCCUGAGCAAGGCAACUACUUGGCUGUUUUUACAGCACACAUACUACAGUGCUCGGCAGACGACCCAUUCCUUCUGUAUGCCACGCUGCACUCGGGGAACCACUGCAAGUUUAUCACAAAAGAUCUGAUGCGGGACCACAAGGCCUGUCUACAUGAUGCCAAGACCCAGCGCCUCUUCUUUAA